GGUAUCUUUCUUUGUUUUUUUCUUCUUAUACCUCCGUAGUUUAUUAUUUUUAGACUAAUAUGAUAAAAUAAUUAGAUUAUCAAUUAGUCUACGUAUUUAUACAUUAGACCCUAGCCGUAGCUAUUUUUUCUUCCGUAAAACAGCUUGGCCCUGAUUUUCCAAAUAGCCAUAACUUUUUACUCGUUUGUCCAAAUCCAACAAAACCAACGCCCACGUCUUCGUUACGAUCUCUUCUAUCCAGAUAAGCAACUUAAACAUGUUUUUGAAAAGUUUAAAAUUUAAAUUAGAUCAGAUUUGAAUUCAAACUUUGUUUGAUCAUAACUUGUGUUUCGUACCUCCGUUUGAGUUGAUUCUUUUUGCAAAUCGAAGCUCUUGACCUAAACAUUUUAAUAAGGCCAAAUUCACAUAAUUUUGGUACUGUUAGAAAUUGUUUUAUGUUGCAAGAGUUAUUUGCUUGGUUUUGAAGUUUUCCGAAUCGUCUUCUUCGUUCUUUCUGAUCUUUUGAGUGAUUGCUUAUGUGUGGUUACUAUUGUUUGCUUACGAUAGAUUGACCGGAGUGUGACGAGUAGAACUAUCAAGAGUUUUGAGUGCGAAUCAUCUUCAUCAACAUUGCAGGCAAGUUCACACUUUGAUCAUACCUUUUUCUACAACCCAGUUUUAUUGCAUUAGAUCAAUCCUUACACAUUGCAUGAUUAGGAUCUAAUUAAAUUGUGGGAUGGGAAGUAGUUGAUGAGGUAGGAACCUAUUGCCCUGCAUUCAGACCUUUGGGAGUUACUUCUACGUUUGCUUACUAUGCCAUGCUAUGCUAGUAGACGUGGAUUGGGUGAGUGAUAUCCAUGACAGAUGUGAGAUUGAUAAUUAAUGGUUUAUCUAAGGUGGCAACUUAAACACACAUCUGGGUGGAUUGAGGCACCUGGGGUUUCCAGGACUUGCCUGUUUUUCUUUGGACCGCCACCCAGGCUCAAAGGGAUAAUGAGAUUAUUCAUACUAGAAACUUCCAUGUGCAGCCACAAGCCAUUAUGGGCUCUGGCAUAGUUGACUAAGUUGUGCGAACUCUUAUAGUGGUAGACUAGCAGAUGUAUGGGAUGUAGGUGGUACGGUCUACCCGAUCGUAAGGUGCUAGCGCUUCUGAAAGACUAUGUCUCGGUCAUCCGUCUUCUCAAACACCCUGUUGUGCGAGAAACCAAACGGAGGUGAUCGAGUCUUGUGGGGAAAAGUGCGCAAACCUCUGCAGAGUGUAUAAACUAAUCAUGAUUAGCCGUGUCCCCGGUUAUGGACAUCUUGAGUAUCUAGUUCUUGGAUUAUCUUGUUGAUCUCAUCACAUUACUUUAAAUUAAGUUUGUUGGGUUUAAUGAUGUUACUUAAUUGGGAUUGAGAAUGCUGUCAACCAUUCUCAAUGUUCAACAACCACCAUGAUAGUUAAAUAAAAUUUAUUCCUUUGCAGUAGGGAAAAAUUGGCUUUACGCAAAAACCUUAUAACCAUAGAGCUUUUCCACCAGCCAAAUAUGCAUGUAGUGAUAGUCUUUAUUCAUCAUUCUCUAUGGUGUGAAUUUGCCAGUACAUUCAAUGUACUGACCCGUUUCGGGCUGCAACGUUUCAUGUUGCAGGUUUCUUACGACGAGUAAGUGAUACGUUAGGGUUACGAUUCUACACUCAACUUUGCCGUUGGUGUUGAUGGGAAUCCACAACCUUGUUGCUUCCGCUAUAUGGAUUGAGGUUAUAGUAUUUACGUUACUUUAUACAUGUGAUUUACCUCUGUUAUAAAUCCUUCGAGUACUGUGUGUGUCAGCAUACCGAUCCAGGGAUGACACUUAAGCAUAGAGACUUGAUCCAUUCGGGUCAGGUCGCUACAAGAUGGUAUCAGAGCACAUGUUGACUGUAGGACGUGACCCUAGAAACUGGCAAGCCCAUAGCAAAGAUUUUUCUCUACAACUUUCCCUUUCAAAAAGAUCUUUUACCUCUCUUCUCUUCUGAGCUUAUUCAAAAAUUCCCUUUAGUGAGACCAUACCCCUUUCCCCUUUUGACCACACGAAGAUUCGACUGAUGAGACCACCCUAAGAAGUACGAGAUAUCGGACAACUAAGGCCACUUCGGAAUGAAGAGUAUUUUCCGUGCAUCUGAAUAAUGGAAACUACAACGGUUGAAGGCCGAAGACAAGUAGAAUUUGAAGGCUCUGAAGAAUUCCCAGAUUUGUAUGACCUAGGAAGGCUACCCUUAUGGAACUUGGUAGACUAUGGAAGUUGUCAAUACCCGAGAUCAAGGUGUAUUGGAGAAAGACCAAAACAUGGAGAGUUGAGAACUCAAGGAUUUGUCAAGGAAAACCCUAAGGCAGGAGAUAUCAACUGUGGAGAGAUAGCUCAUGGAAAUGACAAGAGAACAACCACAGCUAUCCAUGAGGUUAUCACCCGCUUAUGCUAUUGUCACCGUGCUGAGUUAAGCAUGCAUAUGCAUGGAAGGAUUAAAUGGUAGAAGGCUGAUGGAGCACCUAUCAGCAAGAUGCAGUUUUAAACUUAGCUGGUGUAUCACCAAGAUCUGGAGUAGUACAUCAAGAAGUUUAAGGUGGAGCUCCACGAAGCCGUAUUAGACAAGGAAGCAUUUCAUGAAGAACUCAGGAACCAAAAGCUUAAAGUAGCCAAGCUGGAGGAGCUACAACCUCGAGAUACCGGAGAUUUGUCAGGAACUGAAGGACAGUAGGACCAUGGUUCAUGCGAAGGAUGUUGAAACCAGAAGUUUGGAACGCAACUCCAGAAUAUUAAAGGACGUCACGAGAGACUUCACGUCAUAAGAGUUGAUCUGGCAAAAGAACUUGAGAAGGACAAGCAUGAUUGGAAGAAGCCAUUGGAGGCUUGAACAAGGCUUGAAGAGUUUGGAGAUGUUGAAGAUUUAUUGGCCUUUAGAAAACCAAACCCCUAUUAUAUACCUACGUUAGAUGCGACAUUUGUGAGCUCUCAUUUGUUUGAUGCUUUUCCCGACAGCCACAAAUAAAAUCUGUCUUUUCAAAACUUUUGUUUGUAUUGUGUGUAUCCCUCUCUAUAUCUCUUAUCUCACCCCAAACCCAUGGACCCAAUAGAGGAUGAAUGGAGAUGAGCUUGUAUUUUCUGGACCGAUGAGUCAGUUGGAGACAGACCGAUGGAUUUAGAACAUGGAAGAUCACAUGUAGAAUAACCCUAUAGUUGGAAAUGAUAUGACCCAGCAUGCUCUUCUGUGCUUUGAAAGAGGUGCUGCUACUUGGUGGAGGAUGUACCAAACCAUGAAUGGAUGGCAAGGAGUAACCACUUGGAAAGAAUUUAAGUUGACUUUGCCAAAGUCUCGGUUUGUGUCCCAGAAGUUGAAGCCUUAUGGGAAGGAUAUGAAGAAACCUUGUGCAUGCAAGAUUUGUGGAGAAAUAGGACACAGCCAUAAAGAACAUAAGGAUGAAUGCCCGAAUUGUGAAGAAAGUCACCCAGUUGAAGAAUGCCCAAUUAGGCAGAUUACUUGUUUCUUGUGUGAAGAUACUAACCACUAUCCUGCUCAGUGUCACAUUUACCCCAUGGUACAACGAACCAUCCAGCAGAAGAAAGAAGCAAUGAAAGGAGCCCUUAUGGAAAGUUUAGAAGAACCUGUGAUGAAGGAAGCUGUGAUGGAGGACACACCCAAAGAAGAACCAAUUAAACCCUGCACCAAGUCUUGCUAUUCAUGUGGAGAAGAAGGACACAUCUCCCAGAAUUGUUUGAAUGUGGAUUUAGUAGAAUUCCCGACAGAGGAAGUAGAGUAUGACCCAUUGGAAAUAGAAGCUCUGAUGGGAAUGGAAAAGUCCAGAAAGAGAAGUAGAUUGGAUUCCAGGAAGGACCUGAGUCAUAUCACCUGUUACAGGUGCAAGGAGUCAGGGCACUACCUCAAUAGUUGCCCAAAAAGGAAACCUUGAUACUUGUUAGAAGUAAUAUGUUUUAGUGGUAAUGGAGCAGGGCACUUUGCCAGAGAAUGCCCCAAGGAGAAGGAAACUUGUGCUAGGUAGUUGAGUUUGCAACAAAAGUAAUGGAGUAGUAGAAGUGAGAACAUUUUCUUGAGGUGUUGAGUUGAGACAUGUAAUGGAAAAGCGAGAGAUUGUAAUUAAUUGAGAGUGAAUAAAGUUGCAUUGUUGGUACUGAUAUGGAUUUUAUGAGUUUUUACUCUAUGAAGAAGGAUUUUGACCAUUUUUGAGGAUAAGAGAAAUAUGGUCUAUGGAAGAUUUGUGCAUUUUAAGGGUGGUAGUACCCUGUAAAGAACCCUUGACUCUUGGAAAAGAUAAGGAUACUCCACUGAGUGGAUUUCGGACAAAAUGAAUAUGAGUUUUGUCUCGAUAUGUGCGAUACCCCAAGAGUGUGUGGGAUGAAGUUGGAGACGUCAGUUGUUUGGACCAAAUGUGAUCAAGGAGUCAGAAGAGAAUGUUAAGUUGAUUCGAGAUAGACUAAAGGUAGCUUAGUCCAGGCAGAAGAGUUAUGUAGACUCAAAAAAACUCAAGGAGGUAGUCUAUGAAAUUGGAGACCGAGCAUGCCUUCAUGUGUUCCCUCUGCGAGGAGUUAAACGAAUUGGAGUUAAGGUAAAGUUAGCCCCAAGAUUUGUAGGACCAUACCGAGUUUUGGAGCGUAUGAGAGAAGUGGCCUACAAGUUUGAGUUACCCGAAGGACUGUCAGGAGUUCAUGAUGUGUUUCACAUUUCCUAGUUGAAGAAGUGCCAUGCAGAGAUGGCCAAUAUUCCCCUGUAAGGACGCUUGACCGUGGAAAGGAUAAUGAUGUUCCACGAAGUAGAGUAUGGACUUCAUAAGUAUAAGUUUUUACCUCGGUAUGUGGGAUAUACCACGAGGAUGAAGAGAUGAAGUACUAUUGGAUAUAAAGGAGGUAUGAUGUUGGUAAUAUGGAGCAAUGGCAACCCCAUGACAAGUCUUAGUACUCACGUCUUGGUUGGGUGCCAAUAGAAGGAAGAAGACAAUACAAUUGGAUGGAUUCUAAGUAUGCUAGGAAGCUGGAAGUUGGAUGUUGGAAUAACGAUAAGUUGCCCGAUGAUAAGUUCAAGGACUACAAGUGAUGAGAUGUGCCAUAACCCACAGGCUCCAGGACCUGCCAAGAAGCAAACACAUUCUUGCUGAAGGAAAAACCCUGGAGGAAGAUACGACAUUUAUCGGCAGACGAUUUUAUAGGAGUAACGCAAAACCUAAGAGUUGUGAAGGAACGAUAGAUGUUUGUCUAGCUUGCAGAAUCUAUGGAUAUAUCCGAACUCCGUUCGUCGACAAGAGAAAUUCUGCAAUGCUCGUGAGGAUGACUGAGUGUUAGUAUGCGAGAUUCGCUAAACCGUAUACAAGGUAAUGAUUUGGGUGCGGGAUGGAUUGAUCACCAUACCGACUUACUCUUAUUGUUCGCCUUGAUAUAUGGGAUGGUAAAUCUGAGUGACUUACCUAUAGUAGAGAGACGACGAUCAAAACUCUGUUUAAACCUUAGAAUGGUAUAAGUAUUUUUUUCCCUUGUACAAGGCAGCUUUUGCCAACCGUAGGUUAUACGGUGAGGAUCAACCCAGACCCAUUUCCUGCAGGAGAAACCAUAAAUUGUUGACCACCAUGAGAUAUCGAUAGUUGUUUAGUUUUGGCGCCCGACCCAUCAGCUAAGAAGACCCAAUCUCGGAAUAACCUUACCAAGAGGAAAGGACAGAAGAAUUGAGGAAAAGGUUAUGCCACUACCGGAAGAGCCAGAGAAGGAAUUUUCCGAGGAUUUGAGAAGACUGACACUGUUAACAAUAUGGAUGAAGUAUAUGAGUUUCGAUGGAGCCGUAACGAUGUUUCUAAGGAUGGUAGCAUCCCAGACCCCGGAGACGAUUGAUGGAUUUUGAAGACCCCGAACCUAACCUAUUUCUUUCUAGCCUCUCCGAAUCUCGAGGACGAGAUUCAUUUUAAGGGUGGUAGGUUUGUAACAUCCCAAAAUUCUAAAUUUUGGAAUGUUAUAAUAAAUAGAUAGAUUUGAUUGAUUGUUUGAUUGAUUGACUGAAAGUGAGUGAAUUCGAAACUCUUUGAAAGUUAAAUGAGAGGGAAUAAAAGGACUUUCCCAAACUUUCAUAUUUGCUUUCUGAUCUCCAUGAAUUCAAAUUCUUUUCAAACACAAAACCCCGGAGAGAAGAUGACAUGACUUCUUCCAUUUAUUUAAAUGACAAGGGGUGUUGAAAAUAUUUGAAUUUCAUUUGAAAUAUUUCUGAUUCUGGAAUUUUAUGCAACUCAAUGAUUUUCAUGAGAGAAGAUAAAAUAACUUCUUCAAAUUAUAUGAAAUAUGAGUUGGGAGUUUCAAAGAAUUAAAUUCAAAGUUCUUUUGUAUUUAUUUUCAAUUUGGAGUUAUUUGAGUUUUAUUCAAAUUAUUUUUCUCCAAAAAUAAAAUAUAUGAAAAUUAGGGUAACAUGAUUCCCUACAUUUGAAAAUUGGAGAAAAAUUAAUUUGAAAUCAUUUUGGUAUUUUUAAAAUGAUCUUUGUUGGAUUUUAAUAGACCAGUAGCACUCUUUGAUUUAUCUGAAUUUGUGUGUAUUUUAUUUGGUGCUACAAAAAUGUUCACGUUGUAGGAAAUCUUUUUCUAAAUUUUUUGAUAUAUAAUAUGCCUAUAUAAAUAUUUUAUUUUUAUUUUCGUUUUUCAGUUUAUCGAAUUCUGUUUUUUUUAAAAAAAACUGCGCGCGUGCCGGAAGCUAACUGUCGCCCACGUGCGCAUCAAAGUACCAGCGGGCGCCCUAAUUUUUUUUUCUUUAUCCUAUAUGGGCCAGGCCCAGCCAGUCUUUUCAGUUUUUUUUUUCUUCUUAGGCCCAAUUUUCCCAAAAAAACUGCACGCGCACGCUGCGGCCGGCCGAAGGCCUUUAGGCCCAUCGCCUCUUUUCUUCUCUAUUUCGUAUAUUUUCGUCUACGUUUAGUCCCACAUUGCCUAGCCUUUGACCUCUAAACCUCUUUUCCACCAAUAAAUAUGGACCCAUAGAGCCUCCAAAAAUCAUCCGAUUCGGGCUAAAUCAAUAUUUUGGUUUGACUAGAUUCAUUUAAGAAAAAUAUAUUUCUACUCUCCGCCGCGACUUCUAGAAAUUUUCUCUUCUCUUCAAAGUCAUCUUUUGUCUACCUUAUAAAGGUAUCUUUCUUUGUUUUUUUUCUUCUUAUACCUCCAUAGUUUAUUAUUUUUAGACUAAUAUGAUAAAAUAAUUAGAUUAUCAAUUAGUCUACGUAUUUAUACAUUAGACCCUAGCCGUAGCUAUUUUUUCUUCCGUAAAACAGCUUGGCCCUGAUAUUUCAAAUAGCCAUAACUUUUUACUCGUUUGUCCAAAUCCAACAAAACCAAC
rnacentral:lncRNA from 1 species